ensembl:lncRNA
UAGUAAAAAUUUAUUGUGCACACACCAAAAAUAGUUUGCAAACCGGGAGCUCUGGAACCAGAGCACGGAAUGAGGCCCAGGGUAUAUCUUUAUAAAGCUACUUGUGCCGUGAGAAAGCAGUGACUGUUUAUUCUUCACGGAUUGGCUGCAAUGAGAUUUUUCAGUGGUCCCUUCAUAUCAUCCAUGGGAACCAGUUCAAGUUUUGCUUAUCAUUUCCAGAAGCUCAAACAAGAAAUGAUCUAGGUCAACUUAGCCUUGCAAAAUAAGCUAAAUUAUGCUUUGUUUGUAUGAUCAUACUGGUUACUCUGCUUAGAAUUUUCAAGGCUAGUCUCCGUUCGGUUUUGAUUUUAAUAGGCUCUAUCUCUCAAUAAAUGCGAGAGAGCCCACGAAAGCUCCCCAAUACGAAGCUGCGCUAUCUGGGCGGCACUAGGACCCCGGGGGCUCCAGGUUAGCUCUCCCAGCCGGCGGGUGGUGGCGCGGGUUUAAGGACCGGCAGGAGCUGGAAGCAAGGGAAGGGCGAGGCGAGUGAGCAGGGACACAAUGGACACUUUCUGCCCUCUGGAGGGAGCUAUCCAAAAGAAGAAACUGCACUUGGAAAUUGACCUAUGAGCAGCACAGAAGAUGAAGAAGAAGGAAAGGGGCCAUCAAGCAGAGAAAUGUGGAGAUCCUGGUGAUGCUGGCAAUGACCCUUCAGCAGGGAGAUGGCUGGACCUGCCAAGUGGAGCACCCCAGCCUGGAUGGUCCUGUCACUGUGGAGUGGAGUACAUCUGCAGUGGCUGCCGUGAGGCAGACAGUGGGGAGAGAAUGAGGCAGAGCAGGAGACAAUGAGGCAGACAGUGGGGAGAGAAUGAGGCAGAGCAGGAGAGAAUGAGGCAGACAGUGGGGAGAGAAUGAGGCAGAGCAGGAGAGAAUGAGGCAGACAGUGGGGAGAGAAUGAGGCAGAGCAGAGCAGGAUUCAGAGGAGCUCUGAAUCCAGGACUUAUUUCCCUAUCUGGUGGAGGGAGAAGGGGUGGAGGUGAAACAGCUCAGCGGGGCUCAGCCAACCAGAAAAUGUCAGAAGGAGCAUCUUAGUGUCUGGGAAAGAGGCGAGAAACGACGCGGCUGAGAAAGUCCCAACCUAUGUGGGGUUCAGGGAUAAGAGGAAGAGAACAAAAAUGGAGACAUGAUAAUCACCUUCUUUUUAAUGGGAUUGAUUGGAAAUACGUCUUUGAAAUUGAUCCUGGAACAUUUUUUAUUUGUAGUAACUUUUGUGAAUGGAUAAUUUUCUUCAUAAUUUCAUGUUGAUUUUUUGUAUCAUAUAAGAAUUCCCUUGAUUGUUAUUAAGUAAUGUUAUAUUUUACCCUUUCAUUCCUUUGAUAAUUUUGGAGGAAUCUGAUAAUAUUUAAUCAAAAAUUUCCAGACAUAUAAUCAGAAUGCAAAAAAUAUUAACUAUUUCACUUCUAAUUAUUCUUUUUAUUUCUUCUUGCAGUUUUUAUCUUUUUAUACGAGAUUUCUCUAAUAUUUUACCACUUAGUGUAAAAUUAACUUUGCUUUAUAAAUUCUUUUUUUAUAUAUAAAUUUGAUGUCUUUUCAUAAAUUUGUGUAGAACUGUAGUAAAAGCCCC